AUGCUUGGAACUACACCUUUCCAAACAUCCUUGUUGCUUGAUGCCAAGAGGAUUUCUCCAAGAGACUGGAACUAUGUUCCUCUGCAGUUCUCCAUUCAGACAUUUCUAUGGUUAGAGCUUUCUUCUGACAAAAUUGUGCUGGUGUCUGGAUGUAAAAUGUAUUUCCUAUUACAGCUGAGAAAGAGAGUAAGUAAAAAGGGUAAGCCAAGGGCUAGCCUAAAAUUCCAAAAGGACUAUUUCCUGAGGUAUUUGUCGCCGGCCAACCUGUCAUCAACCCAGGGUUGGUCGCUUGAACGACAUUCACUUCGAGGGAGUUCUGAUUAA
rnacentral:rRNA from 1 species